GUGCCAGCCGCCGCGGUAACACCGGCAGCCCAAGUGAUGGCCGAUAUUAUUGGGCCUAAAGCGUCCGUAGCUGGCCGAGCAAGUUCGUCGGGAAAUCCACUCGCCUAACGAGUGGGCGUCCGGCGAAAACUGUUCGGCUUGGGACCGGAAGACCUGAAGGGUACGUCUGGGGUAGGAGUGAAAUCCCGUAAUCUUGGACGGACCACCGAUGGCGAAAGCACUUCAGGAGGACGGAUCCGACAGUGAGGGACGAAAGCUAGGGUCUCGAACCGGAUUAGAAACCCCGGUAGUCC
rnacentral:rRNA from 1 species